GCGCGCGUGGUUUUCAGCACUUUGGCGGUGGACAGCGCCCGCACGCGCCCAAUGGAGCCAAUACCGCGCGCCUCCGACGCACCUGAGACCUGCGCGUGCGGUCAAGGCGGUAAAGACGGUGGGAAAUAUCGGGCUGCAGCGGGGCGCACAGAAGAGGCAGUGGACAGAGCAGCAGUGCAGAGAGCAGGCAGUGGACAGAGCAGCCAGUGGAGAGAAGAGGCAGUGGACAGAGCAGCAGUGCACAGAGCAGGCAGUGGACAGAUCAAACAGUGGACAGAGCAGGCAGUGGACAGAAGAGACAGUGGACAGAGCAGCAGUGCAGCAGGCAGUGGACAGAAGAGACAGUGGACAGAGCAGCCAGUGGAGAGAAGAGGCAGUGGACAGAGCAGCAGUGCACAGAGCGGGCAGUGGACAGAAGAGACAGUGGACAGAGCAGCAGUGCAGCAGGCAGUGGACAGAAGAGACAGUGGACAGAGCAGCAGUGCAGAGAGCAGGCAGUGGACAGAGCAGCAGUGCACAGAGCAGGCAGUGGACAGAUCAAAUAGUGGACAGAGCAGGCAGUGGACAGAGCAGCCAGUGGACAGAGAGCCACUGCACAGAACAGGCAGUGGACAGAGCAGCAGUGCAGAGAGCAGGCAGUGGACAGAGCAACCAGUGGAGAGAAGAGGCAGUGGACAGAGCAGCAGUGCACAGAGCAGGCAGUGGACAGAUCAAACAGUGGACAGAGCUGCCAGUGGACAGAACAGGCAGUGGACAGAGCAGCAGUGCAGAGAGCAGGCAGUGGACAGAAGAGACAGUGGACAGAGCAGCAGUGCAGAGAGCAGGCAGUGGACAGAAGAGACAGUGGACAGAGCAGCAGUGCAGAGAGCGGGCAGUGGACAGAAGAGACAGUGGACAGAGCAGCAGUGCAGAGAGCAGGCAGUGAACACAGCAAUCAGUGGUCAGAGCAGCAGUACAGAGAGCAGGCAGUGGACAGAACAGGCAGUGGACAGAGCAGCCAGUGCACAGAACAGGCAGUGGACAGAGCAGGCAGUGGACAGAGCAGCAGUGCACAGAGCAGGCAGUGGACAGAAGAGGCAGUGGACAGAACAGGCAGUGGACAGAGCUGCCAGUGCACAGAUCAAACAGUGGACAGAAGAGACAGCGGACAGAGCAGCAGUGCAAAGAGCAGGCAGUGGACAGAACAGGCAGUGGACAGAGCAACAGUGCACAGAUCAAAUAGUGGACAGAGUAGCCAGUGCACAGAAUAGGCAGUGGACAGAGCAGCAGCGGAGAAAGCAGGCAGUGGACAGAGCAGCCAGUUCACAGAUCAAACAGUGGACAGAACAGACAGUGAACAGAGCGGCACUGCACAGAGCAGGCAGUGGACAGAGCAGCCAGUGCGCAGAGCAGGCAGUGGACAGAGCAGCCAGUGGAGAGAGCAGGCAGUGGAGAGAGCAGGCAGUGGACAGAGCAGCCAGUAGACAGAGCAGCCAGUGCACUAAACAGCCAGUGGACAGAGCAACAGUGCACAGAGCAGGCAGUGCACAGAACAUGCAGUGGAAACAGC
ensembl:lncRNA